GGGGGGGGGGGGGGGGGGGGGGGGGGGGGGGGGGGCGGGGGGGGGGGCGCGGGGGUGGGGGGGGGCGCGGGUGGCGGGCGGGGGAGGAACUCGUGGGGAACGGGCCGUGGACGGUGGGGGACCUUGAGGACACUGGGGCUAAUCCCGGGUAGGGGCUCCGGCUGCUGGGGGGGGGGUGGAAAGUUUCGGCUGUUGGGGAGGGCCUCGCGCGUUAUCAGCUGUGUGGUGGGGUAGUGGCUUACCAAGGCUUUGACGGGUCGCCGGCCUGAGAGGGUGACCGGCCACAGUGGGACUGAGAUACGGCCCAGACUCCUACGGGAGGCAGCAGUGGGGAAUAUUGCACAAUGGGCGGAAGCCUGAUGCAGCAACGCCGCGUGCGGGAUGACGGCCUUCGGGUUGUAAACCGCUUUCGCCUGUGACGAAGCGUGAGUGACGGUAAUGGGUAAAGAAGCACCGGCUAACUACGUG
rnacentral:rRNA from 1 species